UACGUAGGGGGCGAGCGUUGUCCGGAGUUACUGGGCGUAAAGCGCACGCAGGCGGUUCGCCAAGUUUGGAGUGACAGUUGUCGGCUCAACCGACAAAGGACUUCAAAAACUGGUGAACUUGAGGACGAGAGAGGAACAUGGAACUCCAGGUGUAGUAGUGAAAUGCGUAGAUAUCUGGAAGAACACCAAUGGCGAAGGCAAUGUUCUGGCUCGUUUCUGACGGCUCAGGUGGCGAAAGCCAGGGACGCGAACGGGAUUAAGAUAC
rnacentral:rRNA from 1 species